rnacentral:lncRNA from 1 species
CAGCUUUGCUCUUUACCCUCAUCUGGCUUCUCCCAAGCCUGUUUGUGCCAUUGCUUCGAUAGUUUUGUUGCAGCCCUUCAUGCCUCAGAUAUGUACCUCGGGUCAGGUGCCUGCCUCAGGUAUUUACACUUGUACAUGACAUCUUAUAAAAGCAGAGCUCACCAAUGACCCUGGGUGGUUAAUAAGCCUUGCAAUUUCUUAGCGCUUUGCAUUGCCCCCUUGCCAUCCCCCAGGUUUCCCAGGGGCUCCUCCUGCUCCUCUUGGUGAGGUGCCCUCUGCCUGAAGGGCUCUGUCCCAGAGCAACCUCUCUGUUACUCACAGAUCUGCAGGGCAGCACCACGUCCCUCAUCUUCCCAACUGCUGAGUGGCCAUCAGCAUAAUCUGUUCUUCAUCAGCACAGAGGGGGUCAACUGUUCACCAAAGAUCAAGCGGGAAAGCAAAUAGUUUGGAUGCUCCCAGCUGAUCUCAGGUCCUUUCACCUGCUAACACACUUCCCUGCUGCCAAGAGAGAAACUGAGAUGGUGCUACUAAAUACCAGCAACUCCAAUGGCUACACAGACAUGAAAUGAAACCAC